GAAAAGGCCGGGAAGAAUCGGCAACUCAAAAGGCAGAUAUUAUCAGGGAGACAACCGAUGCUAGUGCAAGACUUGCUGAAAGAUCAUGCAGAAGAGAAUUGAAUUUUGACUUGGAAAAUCCUGUAGAUGAAAGCCAGAUCGAAGUAAUUGGUGAGCAGGCAGAGAUGCAACAAAGUUACAAGAGGACUCUUAAUUUGAAUUUGGAUUUCCAAACCACAGAAAUGGAUAGCAGAACUAACAGUGGGGGCAGAGCGAAGUUGACUCUGCCUAUAGACCAACAUAAAGGAUUGCCCACGAAAAACCAGCAACCAGGAACAGACAAUAGCGAUACCUCUAUGGUAAAUGAAAUCCCAGCUUACAUGUCAAUGCAGGAAAUGCAACCGGUUGCAGCCUCACAACCUCCAAGAAAAGACCGGCACAUGGAAAAUUUAAAAGUCAAUCAAAGUAAUAUAGAUACUAGCAUUGCCGAUCCAUUCCAACAGAGUCACAGAACCGGUUACACUCGUAUCCAGCAACAUACAUCUGCAAAAGGAAUUGGCCACACUUUCUGCCCAGAAAAUGACAAUUUUGAAAACCUUGGGAGGACUAGACAACCGGUUGCAGCCUCACAACCUCCAAGAAAAGACCAGCACAUGGAAAAUUUAAAAGUCAAUCCAAGUAAUAUAGAUACUAGCAUUGCCGAUCCAUUCCAACAGUGUCACAGAACCGGUUACACUCGUAUCCAGCAACAUACAUCUGCAAAAGGAAUUGGCCACACUUUCUGCCCAGAAAAUGACAAUUUUGAAAACCUAGGGAGGACUAGACAACUGAUGACCCAACGUUCUCUGCAAUCAGCACCAUCGACUUCGUUCAGUUCAAAAGAAGUUGGCGGAUCAAAGAGACUGUAUUCUCAUGCAAUGGGUCAGAUGCAGCCUUAUGCUGUAAAUGUAACAGGAUUGUCGUAUCUGAACCAAAAUAUGGUUCAGAUAGAUGGAUGCCACAGGAACACGUGCAUGCAGGGUGCUGAUUGUUUAGAGACGCACAAGAAAAAGAAAAUUGACAAUGAACUACUUACAAUCAUAACAGGCAAGCCUCCUGGUAUUACAGCGGUUCAAGAUGGCUCAAAGCAAACUCAAAGCAAAAUUGUGAGUGAUGUCAGAGGAAAUGGAUUUAUGUAUCAA
rnacentral:lncRNA from 1 species